CCUACGGGAGGCUGCAGUGGGGAAUAUUGCACAAUGGGCGCAAGCCUGAUGCAGCCAUGCCGCGUGUGUGAAGAAGGCCUUCGGGUUGUAAAGCACUUUCAGCGGGGAGGAAGGCGUUAAGGUUAAUAACCUUGGCGAUUGACGUUACCCGCAGAAGAAGCACCGGCUAACUCCGUGCCAGCAGCCGCGGUAAUACGGAGGGUGCAAGCGUUAAUCGGAAUUACUGGGCGUAAAGCGCACGCAGGCGGUCUGUCAAGUCGGAUGUGAAAUCCCCGGGCUCAACCUGGGAACUGCAUUCGAAACGGGCAGGCUAGAGUCUUGUAGAGGGGGGUGGAAUUCCAGGUGUAGCGGUGAAAUGCGUAGAGAUGUGGAGGAAUACCGGUGGCGAAGGCGGCCCCCUGGACAAAGACUGACGCUCAUGUGCGAAAGCGUGGGGAGCAAACAGGAUUAGAUACCCGGGUAGUC
rnacentral:rRNA from 1 species